rnacentral:tRNA from 1 species
GGAUUGUGGCUCAGUGGUAGAGUGCUUGCCUAACAUGCAUGAAGCCCUGGGUUCAAUUCCUUAGCACCA